UUCUUCUAAAGCUGCAUAGAUCUUCUCACGUAGAAGACUGACCUCUUGGAUGGAUUUUAAACCUCGUACGUCAGGGUUGAAGAGGAUUAUUGAUCUAUAGGGAUUAAUACGAAAUAGAUCGAGAUUUUAAUUGACUGACCUGAGACAACCUAAUUCAGUUUUGUCCAUCUCCAUUUCUCGCAUCUUAGCUACAAGUUCGGAUAGCACGUGUUCAAAUAUCGUCCCUACACCAGCCUGUUGCGCCGAAUUACGGUUGACGGUAAUGCCAGUGGCCAAAACGAUACCGUCCUUGACAUUGAUGGAACGAUGAGAAAAGGAUGCUAUCAGCAACUCGUUCCAACCAGCCCUGAGUAAUAGUACCUGAUCCUCCAACGGCAACGAGGUAAAAUGCGGGAUGUGCUUGGCCCAUGCCACCAGCUGGAACAGCUGUUUGUUCGUGGCGUUGCGAAUGUGCGAUAUUGCAUUCUGUGUAUCACACGGGAUAGCAGAUUAAUCGAGAGGAGGAGAGAAAAAAAUAAAAAGAGAG